rnacentral:RNase_P_RNA from 1 species
AAACCCAAGGAGAUAUGUGCGGUGGAGCAAUCCACUGAGGAAAGUCCGGACACAGUGAGGAGGAAACUCCUCGAUUCUAGUAGCUAACGGCUACGGGGAAAUGGGCGACUAUUUUCUACGGCCAGUGCCACAGAGACUAAACAGGUCAUGCAUUUCACGGGAAAAGAAAACGGUGUAUGACUCAAGGUGAAAAGUUUCGGCAGUUCUUUUCCUCGCCGAGAGGACCUCAGGUGACUGAGGUAUCCGGGUAAACCCUAGAUUGUGCAAGCUUGUUGGCUCUGCUUCGGCAGAAGGCAAGUGCUUGAGGUCCCGAGCGAUCAGGAUCCCAGAGAGAUUCAUAUCGAGAUACAGAAUCCGGCUUAUUACUUGGGUAUUAAA